rnacentral:tRNA from 1 species
GGGGUUGUGGCUCAGUGGUAGAGCGCUUGCCUGGCACGUGCAAGCCCUGGGUUCAAUACCCAGCACCA